rnacentral:rRNA from 1 species
UACGAAGGGGGCUAGCGUUGCUCGGAAUCACUGGGCGUAAAGCGCACGUAGGCGGACUCUUAAGUCGGUGGUGAAAUCCUGGAGCUCAACUCCAGAACUGCCUUUGAUACUGAAGAUCUUGAGUUCGGGAGAGGUGAGUGGAACUGCGAGUGUAGAGGUGAAAUUCGUAGAUAUUCGCAAGAACACCAGUGGCGAAGGCGGCUCACUGGCCCGAUACUGACGCUGAGGCACGAAAGCGUGGGGAGCAACAGGAUAGAAACCC